AAGGGCUUUCUGAUGGUGUCGGCGAGCCCGCUGACGCGCUCUUCGCAUCAUGCGGGUGAGGAUUUUGCGAAGCUGCAGGCGGCGCGCUCGGCAGCGGAACGCUAGCCUUCCACGAUGCCNNNNNNAGCGCCGCGUGCAUCACAGCGCGGAGAAAAUGUUCGAUCUCGUCGCCGACGUCGAGCGCUAUCCUGAAUUCGUGCCGUUGUGCCAGUCGCUGAAAGUCCGCCAGCGA
rnacentral:misc_RNA from 1 species